AGACCAGUCUACAGAGCUGCUGCCACCCAGCACUGGAGGACCUUCUCUACGCCCGCCUGCACUACACGUGAACAUUAUGAGUUUCAUAGCAGAGCUGCUGGGAUGGUUCGAGGUGCAGAAACCUGAUUUUGUCAAGCCAUUACUACCUCUAGACCUGACAGAUGCCUCAGGGUUGUUGGACUGCACCAUUCU